UACGGAGGAUGCGAGCGUUAUCCGGAUUUAUUGGGCGUAAAGCGAGUGCAGGCGGUUCAAUAAGUCUGAUGUGAAAGCCUUCGGCUCAACCGGAGAAUUGCAUCAGAAACUGUUGAACUUGAGUGCAGAAGAGGAGAGUGGAACUCCAUGUGUAGCGGUGGAAUGCGUAGAUAUUAGGAAGAACACCAGUGGCGAAGGCGGAUUACUGGACGAUAACUGACGGUGAGGCGCGAAAGCGUGGGGAGCAAACAGG
rnacentral:rRNA from 1 species